rnacentral:rRNA from 1 species
GAUGAACGCUGGCGGCGUGCCUAAUACAUGCAAGUCGAGCGAACAGACGAGGAGCUUGCUCCUCUGACGUUAGCGGCGGACGGGUGAGUAACACGUGGAUAACCUACCUAUAAGACUGGGAUAACUUCGGGAAACCGGAGCUAAUACCGGAUAAUAUAUUGAACCGCAUGGUUCAAUAGUGAAAGACGGUUUUGCUGUCACUUAUAGAUGGAUCCGCGCCGCAUUAGCUAGUUGGUAAGGUAACGGCUUACCAAGGCAACGAUGCGUAGCCGACCUGAGAGGGUGAUCGGCCACACUGGAACUGAGACACGGUCCAGACUCCGACGGGAGGCAGCAGUAGGGAAUCUUCCGCAAUGGGCGAAAGCCUGACGGAGCAACGCCGCGUGAGUGAUGAAGGUCUUCGGAUCGUAAAACUCUGUUAUUAGGGAAGAACAAAUGUGUAAGUAACUAUGCACGUCUUGACGGUACCUGAUCAGAAAGCCACGGCUAACUACGUG